GAAUAUGUUUGAUCCCGUUAUGGAAAUAGGGGAUCAGUGGCAUUUGGCAAUUCAAGAAGCAAUUUUAGAAAAAUGCAGUGAUAAUGAUGGCAUUGUUCACAUUGCAGUAGACAAAAAUUCACGUGAGGUAAAGUAACUUUUGGUAUUGAAUUUCACGUUUUGGAUUUGUUGCUAUUAAACUAAGACUAUUUUCUUUCUUUUUUAAUAUCACAGGGUUGUGUAUAUGUUAAAUGUCUGUCUCCAGAAUAUGCUGGAAAGGCUUUUAAAGCAUUGCAUGGCUCUUGGUUUGAUGGGAAAUUGGUUACAGUAAAAUAUUUACGACUAGAUAGAUACCACCAUCGCUUUCCCCAGGCUCUCACUUCCAACACUCCAUUGAAGCCAUCAAAUAAACAUAUGAACUCUAUGUCUCAUC
rnacentral:sRNA from 1 species